AGGAGCCGUAUGAGGCGGAAGCUCCACGUACGGUUUUGAAGCCGAGCCUUUCCAGCAAUGGGGCUUAGGGACCGAGGGGACCAGCAGAGAAAGAAAAGGUGACUAUCAACUAAAU
rnacentral:ncRNA from 1 species